UCGACCCCUUCUGUGCCGGAGUUAACGCAAUAAGUACCCCGCCUGGGGAGUACGACCGCAAGGUUGAAACUCAAAGGAAUUGACGGGGGCCCGCACAAGCGGUGGAGUAUGUGGUUUAAUUCGACGCAACGCGAAGAACCUUACCAGGCCUUGACAUCCCUUGCAAAGCUGUAGAGAUACAGUAGAGGUUAUCAAGGAGACAGGUGGUGCAUGGUUGUCGUCAGCUCGUGUCGUGAGAUGUUGGGUUAAGUCCCGCAACGAGCGCAACCCUUGCCUUCAGUUACCAGCAUUCAGUUGGGGACUCUGGAGGGACUGCCGGUGAUAAACCGGAGGAAGGUGGGGAUGACGUCAAAUCAUCAUGCCCCUUAUGGCCUGGGCUACACACGUACUACAAUGGCUGUUACAACGUGCAGCGACCUAGCGAUAGGAAGCGAAUCACUAAAAGACAGUCUCAGUUCGGAUUGAAGUCUGCAACUCGACUUCAUGAAGCUGGAAUCGCUAGUAAUCGCGGAUCAGAAUGCCGCGGUGAAUACGUUCUCGGGCCUUGUACACACCGCCCGUCAUACCAUGAGAGCUGGUAAUACCCGAAGCCGGUGGCCUAACCGCAAGGAAGGAGCCGUCGAAGGUAGGACUAGUGAUUGGGGUCAAGUCGUAACAAGGUAUCCCUACGAGAACGUGGGGAUG
rnacentral:rRNA from 1 species